AAGUCGUAACAAGGUUUCCGUAGGUGAACCUGCGGAAGGAUCAUCACGAGAGGUCGCCGCAAGGCGCACCACAACACUGUGUUGCCGAGCGAUGAGUGCAGUUAGCGAGAGCGCGUAGCGCGAACGCUGCUGCACACGUCUAUUGACACCAUGCAAACUGAAUCAGCCCUAAUAGCAACCAACAACAAACACAACUGUUAGCAACGGAUCACUUGGUUCUC
rnacentral:misc_RNA from 1 species